UUUGAUGAAGUUUUCGGAUUGAAAUUUUAGUGACUGAGUGGCGGACGGGUGAGUAACGCGUGGGUAACCUGCCUUGUACUGGGGGACAACAGUUGGAAACGACUGCUAAUACCGCAUAAGCGCACAGCUUCGCAUGAAGCAGUGUGAAAAACUCCGGUGGUACAAGAUGGACCCGCGUCUGAUUUAGCUAGUUGGUGAGGUAAUGGCCCACCAAGGCGACGAUCAGUAGGGGUUCUGAGAGGAAGGUCCCCACAUUGGAACUGAGACACGGUCCAAACUCC
rnacentral:rRNA from 1 species